GUAGGUGAUAGAGGUAAAUUAAAGAUCUUUGUAUUUUUUCAUGUAAAAAUAAUGAAAAACCUAUUAUCUUGAGAAGGGCCGAGGUGUCCAGUUGAGGACAGAGGUUCACAAACUGGGUGGAAGGAGGGAGGAGACAUGAGAGAAGCAGAAGCCUUGAAAACAGGGAGAGGUGUUUGAGCAGCAAGAUCUGGAAAAGGAGGAAGAACAAGAAGGGAAAGCCAGAAGGAGAUCCAGCAAAAAGAGGGAAGAGGUGUGCCUCUGAAAUGAAGAUGUUCAUCAGUGGAAUGAAGUGCUGAUGAAAUGGAAACAUCAGAGAUCCUAAGGUGCUCCGACUAUGGCAGCAAUAACUUUUACUUCCCUUCGUCUCGUUAAAUCCAGAUCCAUAUCAGACAAAACCCGAUGUCUGAUCUUACCACUCGGCAAUAUUUGCUUGAUGAGAACUUUGGCUUUUGUUGGUAAUGAGACAAAAAACCUUUCCUGAGCCCAUCCGUCGGUAUCGGAACUGCCCCAAGAAUCUCCAGCAACUCCUCAUCCACAUUCCAAGGAGCUGUGGAUCAAACCAAACGUGGGAGACUGUGUGGAAUCAGUUUUCUGCUGUUGAAGCCAAUGACUUUCAUAGGUGUUUCCUGAAGCAGUGCUUCAUAGAGUCAGAGAUCCAACACCCCUGAGUGCUUCUGACUGUUGAACACCAGUAUAAAAACCUCUCUGGUGACUGGAGAUGGAUUCAGGAGGUAUGUGAAGAACGAGGUGUUUUGGGCUGAAUUACCUCUGUCACAGGAGCAUCAGGUAGAACUUACUUGAAUAUUAUGCUGUGAUAAUAUUAUGCUGUGAUAAUGCUGUAAUUAUUUUAAAUUAUUUCAUUAUUUUAAUCUGAGUGAUUGUAAACAUGAUUGGAAAUAAAGU
rnacentral:lncRNA from 1 species